UACGAAGGGUGCAAACGUUGCUCGGAAUUAUUGGGCGUAAAGCGCACGUAGGCGGCUUGGCAAGUCGGAUGUGAAAUCCCUCGGCUCAACCAAGGAAGUGCAUCCGAAACUGCUGAGCUUGAGUACUUAAGAGGAUCACGGAAUUCCCGGUGUAGAGGUGAAAUUCGUAGAUAUCGGGAGGAACACCAGUGGCGAAGGCGGCGAUCUGGGAAGAUACUGACGCUGAGGUGCGAAAGCGUGGGGAGCAAACAGG
rnacentral:rRNA from 1 species